CACGUAGGCACCAAGCGUUGUCCGGAUUUAUUGGGCGUACAGAGCUCGUAGGCGGUUCAGUAAGUCGGGUGUGAAAACUCUGGGCUUAACCCAGAGCCGCCACCCGAUACUGCUGUGACUAGAGUCCGGUAGGGGAGUGGGGAAUUCCUAGUGUAGCGGUGAAAUGCGCAGAUAUUAGGGGGAACACCGGUGGCGAAGGCGGCCCCCUGGACCGGUACUGACGCUGAGGCGCGAAAGCGUGGGUAGCAAACGGG
rnacentral:rRNA from 1 species